AGUGAGUGGCGGACGGGUGAGUAACACGUGGGUAACCUGCCCUAAAGUGGGGGAUAACAUUUGGAAACAGAUGCUAAUACCGCAUAAAACCUAACACCGCAUGGUGUAGGGUUGAAAGAUGGUUUCGGCUAUCACUUUAGGAUGGACCCGCGGUGCAUUAGUUAGUUGGUGAGGUAAAGGCUCACCAAGACCGUGAUGCAUAGCCGACCUGAGAGGGUAAUCGGCCACACUGGGACUGAGACACGGCCCAGACUCCUACGGGAGGCAGCAGUAGGGAAUCUUCCACAAUGGACGAAAGUCUGAUGGAGCAACGCCGCGUGAGUGAAGAAGGUUUUCGGAUCGUAAAACUCUGUUGUUGGAGAAGAAUGUAUCUGAUAGUAACUGAUCAGGUAGUGACGGUAUCCAACCAGAAAGCCACGGCUAACUACGUGCCAGCAGCCGCGGUAAUACGUAGGUGGCAAGCGUUGU
rnacentral:rRNA from 1 species